AUUGAACGCUGGCGGCAGGCCUAACACAUGCAAGUCGAACGGUAACAGGAAGCAGCUUGCUGCUUUGCUGACGAGUGGCGGACGGGUGAGUAAUGUCUGGGAAACUGCCCGAUGGAGGGGGAUAACUACUGGAAACGGUAGCUAAUACCGCAUAAUGUCGCAAGACCAAAGAGGGGGACCUUCGGGCCUCUUGCCAUCGGAUGUGCCCAGAUGGGAUUAGCUUGUUGGUGAGGUAACGGCUCACCAAGGCGACGAUCCCUAGCUGGUCUGAGAGGAUGACCAGCCACACUGGAACUGAGACACGGUCCAGACUCCUACGGGAGGCAGCAGUGGGGAAUAUUGCACAAUGGGCGCAAGCCUGAUGCAGCCAUGCCGCGUGUAUGAAGAAGGCCUUCGGGUUGUAAAGUACUUUCAGCGGGGAGGAAGGGGGUAAGGUUAAUAACCUUAGCCAUUGACGUUACCCGCAGAAGAAGCACCGGCUAACUCCGUGCCAGCAGCCGCGGUAAUACGGAGGGUGCAAGCGUUAAUCGGAAUUACUGGGCGUAAAGCGCACGCAGGCGGUCUGUCAAGUCGGAUGUGAAAUCCCCGGGCUCAACCUGGGAACUGCAUUCGAAACUGGCAGGCUUGAGUCUCGUAGAGGGGGGUAGAAUUCCAGGUGUAGCGGUGAAAUGCGUAGAGAUCUGGAGGAAUACCGGUGGCGAAGGCGGCCCCCUGGACGAAGACUGACGCUCAGGUGCGAAAGCGUGGGGAGCAAACAGGAUUAGAUACCCUGGUAGUCCACGCCGUAAACGAUGUCUAUUUGGAGGUUGUGCCCUUGAGGCGUGGCUUCCGGAGCUAACGCGUUAAAUAGACCGCCUGGGGAGUACGGCCGCAAGGUUAAAACUCAAAUGAAUUGACGGGGGCCCGCACAAGCGGUGGAGCAUGUGGUUUAAUUCGAUGCAACGCGAAGAACCUUACCUGGUCUUGACAUCCACAGAAUUUCUCAGAGAUGAGGAAGUGCCUUCGGGAACUGUGAGACAGGUGCUGCAUGGCUGUCGUCAGCUCGUGUUGUGAAAUGUUGGGUUAAGUCCCGCAACGAGCGCAACCCUUAUCCUUUGUUGCCAGCGAUUCGGUCGGGAACUCAAAGGAGACUGCCAGUGAUAAACUGGAGGAAGGUGGGGAUGACGUCAAGUCAUCAUGGCCCUUACGACCAGGGCUACACACGUGCUACAAUGGCAUAUACAAAGAGAAGCGACCUCGCGAGAGCAAGCGGACCUCAUAAAGUAUGUCGUAGUCCGGAUUGGAGUCUGCAACUCGACUCCAUGAAGUCGGAAUCGCUAGUAAUCGUGGAUCAGAAUGCCACGGUGAAUACGUUCCCGGGCCUUGUACACACCGCCCGUCACACCAUGGGAGUGGGUUGCAAAAGAAGUAAGUAGCUUAACCUUCGGGAGGGCGCUUACCACUUUGUGAUUCAUGACUGGGGUGA
rnacentral:rRNA from 1 species